rnacentral:RNase_P_RNA from 1 species
CGGGAACAUCGGGUAGCCGCGCGGCGUCUUUGAAAAGACGAGUGAGGAAGGUCCGAACUCUACGGGAUAAUAAGGCCAGAGAAAUCUGGAAGCCGAAAGGCUAUGGAUAGCGCAACAGAAAAUAUACCGCCUUUUACGGGUUUAGGCCCGCCAAAAGGUAAGGGUGAAAUGGCGAGGUAAAAGCUCACCGCGUUUUUUGAGAAAAAAACGGCACGGCAAGCCCCCUUAAGAGAAAUUUCAAGCAGUUCUGUAAAAUCCCUGCCCUUUUUAAUAAGGAACAGAACGGGUAGAAAGCAAAGAGAUUUACGGUAUAACGUAAAUACAAGAUAAAUGGCUGCCUUCUGCUUCGGCAGAAACAAAAUUCGGCCUAUAGAUGUUCCUUAUUU